rnacentral:lncRNA from 1 species
UGAGACUUUUUUUUCUUCAGAUUUGUCUAGGAGUUUCGGUCUCUUUUAUACGGUUAGUGGUAGUCCGGUGGAAUCCCUGCCGUGAGGCAUUUGGCGUCCAGUUUUUCUUUUUUCUUGCGUUGAUUUUUUUGGCGUCGGCACCUGCUUUUGUCCGGGUUUAAUAAUAUAUGACAAUGUGCAUGCGUCCAGUUUUUCUUUUUUCUUGCAUUGAUUUCUUUGACGUCGGCACCUGUCUUUGUCCGGGUUUAAUAAUGUAUGACAGUGUG